UACGUAGGGAGCAAGCGUUGUCCGGAUUUAUUGGGCGUAAAGAGCUCGUAGGCGGUUAAGUAAGUCAGGCGUGAAACCUCCAGGCUCAACCUGGAGACGCCACUUGAUACUGCUUUGACUUGAGUUCGGUAGCGGUAAGCGGAAUUCCUGGUGUAGCGGUGAAAUGCGCAGAUAUCAGGAAGAACACCCGUGGCGAAGGCGGUUCUCUGGGACGGUACUGACGCUGAGACGCGAAAGCGUGGGGAGCGAACAGG
rnacentral:rRNA from 1 species